UCCCAUAGGUUUUUAACCAAUACAGUGUCACUAUGUCCUUGCCCUUCCUGCCUAGAACAUAACUGCUCAUCUGAUCAGCCUUAGACUCUGGGCUCCCCAACCAGGGCACUCUGAUUUCUAUGCAGCAGCAGAGGCAGCAGGAGCUAGGAUUCUGCUUCAACACUUCCCCAUCUGAAGGACAUCUUCAAUUCGGCCUUGAUGAGCCACGAGUGGUAAAUAAGAGAUUCCUCCCUCAGGGGCUGGACAAUGAAGGAAAAGGCAGCCACAAGAUCCAUGUGCAGAUUCACACAGCAAAGUUCUGCCGUGUUUCAAACGGAAUACAGCUUAGCAGCUGCAGGGAAGAAAACCUAUUUUUAAUCACUGAGAAGCGUGGACACCGAUAGGAGCAGAAACCUCGGAUAUUGCUGGGUUCAGGAGCAGAGGGAAUACGGUAGACAGGACGGGGUCAGGUUCAGAGGGCCCUUUGAGCACCGGGGACUCGACACCUCCACCAAGUUGUGGGCGGGUCCGUUCUUGGCACAAAAGAGGCUCCUUUGCUGAACUAUGGCUGCUGCGGCGAGGCUAUUUCUGGGCUCGCUUUCUCUUCCUGGUGAUGAAAACAAGCACGUCCACCCAGUAAAUAAAGGCGAAGCCAAUGAAAGCAGCUGUAUUUCAAGGAGAGCCGGGGGACAAGCCAGAGAAUAAAUGAACAGAUCCAGUGACAAAAUGUCCAUUCAUUGGCUUCGCCCGGCAAACAUUUACUGAAGGCAUCUGUGCACCCGGCACUCUACUGAAUGCUGGAGAGACACAAAGAUGCCCUUGAGAACGGUGACCACCGCCUCUCCUCCACUGGAAUGGGAUGAAUAUUAACCAAACACAGCACCUAAAAGAACGGGGGAUAUGUGGGAUGUUUGAAUCAUCUGUGAAACAUGAAUGAAUUCCACAAGUGAUGUUCAGCAUCUGCUCAAAGGGUCUUAUUUGUAAUACCAGUCCAAAACAAUCGACAAUCAAUCUCACUGAUUCUAAUGAUAAUUGUAUGUAGUUUUAUCCAGAAACCCACUCUUUGAUAGGCAAGUAGCAGGGCAGUCGUCAAUCCAACAAUUAUUGAUGUCCCACUGUGUGGGGAGGCCACCAGGGAGCACAACAGAAUGAGGUAGACAAAGAUAUUUUUAGAGAAA